rnacentral:lncRNA from 1 species
UGCCAAGUGACUGGUGCUCGCUUUAGGCUCCUGCUACCUUCUGCGGGCGGAACGUGGGUGUCCCGGGAAGGGACGGACCCCAUCUCUACUAUGCCGCAAGCGCGUUGUGUCAACAGGCUGGCUGUGGACGGCCCGAUGAGCGUUACUUGAUUUUGUACUUUCGGCCACCUCCAAUUUUCUCAGAACGCAACAUAAGAAAAAAAAAAACUAACAGCAGUGUGUGCAGGAGAGCUUCGAAAAUAUGGGUGCUGAUGUUUGGUCACUGCUAUGGGGGAGGUCGCAGAGCUGAGAGUUGUCGGAGGACGUUUUCUGUCCUGUCUAGUCUUCCCCAGAUCUGGUGGUUUUGGAAGGGACAGCAGGGCUUCCACUCAUUCACACUUUGCUGUCUCCAGGACUCCAUUUCUGCCUUCCAGAGGCCCAGCAGCACCCUCUUCAGUGAGACCCAUGGUUGGGACACCCUUUGCCCUGAGUAUGAACUUGGCUGCCUGCGGUUCUCAGGGUCAUAGGCUUUUGGUAAGGAGCAGUGGGCAAGCACUGAGCUGCCUGCAGGCCCCAUGCUCUGUUGUCAUAGUUCUGCAGCACAAUGCUGCCUACAGCCCUCACAAGUAGAGGGGCACCGCCAAUUCCAAUAACACUACACAAAGGAGAAGAUGGCCGGUGGACCUGCAAGCCAUAGCUUGCUGCUUCUGACCUAGGCUUGUGCGGUUGUGGCUUUAAUUUUUUUAAAUGUUUCCACCCAGAUUUUACUUUUUUUUCUUCCUUCAGCUGUUCAACCCAGGGUCCAGACUUUUCAAGGGCUACUCUAUGGUAGUCCGAACUACUCACUGCUGACACUUGGCACCUAGUCUUCAUUCUGGGACCCCAGAGACAUUCUUCCCUGCUGUGACUAUGCUUGGGGAGGUGUGUCCACUGCCCGGCAUCUCAGCUUCACAAGAGGCCCCACAGGGGUCUCUCACUUGAAGGACAAGGGCCAGGGAGACCAUGUCAGUGGGAAUUACCUGUGAGGUCACGUGCUGCUGCUUCUAGUUCACUCUCUGACCUCUCCUGAAGAAGCCAAGCUGCAGAGAUGAGCUACAAAGGACAUUCUCAGAGCUGUCAAAAAGAAUCAGAGGAGAAAGGCUUCAAAGAAGACUGAGACCAGACCAGCUGCUUGGAAAAAGCAGAAGCCAGCUGAGCUGUCUGGAAGAAGUUUAGAUCAACUGAGGCACCUGGAAAGGACAAUCCACCUCCAACCUGCUGAGCUUCAUGAGUGCUGUGUGUUCCAGGUACCCAGCUUUGUGAGCUGUGGCCCAUGCUGGGGUAGGCUUUGGUGAUACUGCUGGUUUUGAGUCAUUUCUACUCCUGUAAGUAAUUCUUCAUCCAUACUCUUGUGCGUAACCCCAAUAAAACUCAUUGGUCCACCAAACUAGACUUUGGUGGUAUCAUAUUUGGUCUAUUAUGGGUUCCCAGUUUGGUGUGAGUGAACAUGGGUGUUGCAUCUCCCCCCAAAAACGUUUUGUCGCACAAGUGGUAUCAUCCUAAAGACUGGGGUGCUGGGAUGGAAUAAAAAGGGAAAGUCAGUCGGCCUCUCACUCCCUGCCGAGGUCCCCUUCUCCUCCCUCUCUAGUUCUCACUGUCUUGCUUUCUCCACCACUCUCUCUCCUCCCCUCCCUUGUUUCCU